rnacentral:rRNA from 1 species
UACGUAGGGGGCGAGCGUUGUCCGGAAUUAUUGGGCGUAAAGAGCGUGUAGGCGGUUCGGUAAGUCUGCCGUGAAAUCCCACGGCUCAACCGUGGAAGUGCACCCGAAACUGCGUAGCUAGAGUCCUGGAGAGGAAGGUGGAAUGCUUGGUGUAGAGGUGAAAUUCGUAGAUAUCAAGCGGAACACCGGUGGCGAAGGCGGCCUUCUGGACAGUGACUGACGCUGAGACGCGAAAGCGUGGGGAGCAAACAGG